CUAUAAAUAAGGCAUUAAAUUAGUUAGAUUUCACAACUAAUUGUCUCCAAUAGAAACCGUCCCAAAUUAUCAGAAAAACGAGAAGCCUUUCAUCCAUUAGAAAUUAUUUCAAAGCAUUACACGCACCAUUAUCUAAAACUUGCAGUCUUAUUUUUUAAUCGAUCGAGGUUAGUUUGGAUCGAUUAGAAUUGUGGUGUGAUGGUGAUGCUGCCUGCCAGAAGGAUUCGAAAGGGAAAAGCGGGACAUCCAUGCUUACUACAGCCCCAUUUGGUAUGUCAGGCUCGUCACUUGAUCCGCUGCUAUUGACAUCAAUUGGAACCUCAUCAUAGUGGUUUUCAUGUCCACUGUCUUCGAACAUUGCGAACCCAGUUCGACGGAGCUUUGUUGGUGUGAUUGCUUACCUAUCAUUGUUGAAUGUGUCCCUGAACAGAGCCUUAUAGCCAUACACCUGACGGCAGUCUUUGUCCUUAAACUCUUUGUAGGCCUUGUUCUCUUGUGCCAGUACAAACGGAUAGUUCUGUCACAUAUGUUACACGGACGCAUGCAUGAAAUGCAUAGAUGGAAGUGUAAAUGAAUUUUAUCGUAAUUUCUGAAGAAAAAAUUGCAUUAACAAAAUGUCUUAGGGUUUAGCUCGAUAUAA